AAAACUAUACUUUCAGGGAUUAUUUUGAUAGUUACUUACUAGAAAGUUUCUCUGAACUUGUAGGGUACCAGAAACCAUGAGUAUGAGACACAAUAUCCUCCAGAGCAUAAGUUAAUUUUAAGCACACUGCUUUGGCAAUUGCUUUUUGCUAUUGAUAAUUGCUCAGACCUUCUUCAUGAGGGUGAGAGGGGAAAAAAUAAAAAU